rnacentral:rRNA from 1 species
AGAGUUUGAUCAUGGCUCAGGACGAACGCUGGCGGCGUGCCUAAUACAUGCAAGUCGAACGAAGCUUUCUUUCACCGAAUGCUUGCAUUCACCGAAAGAAGCUUAGUGGCGAACGGGUGAGUAACACGUAGGCAACCUGCCCAAAAGAGGGGGAUAACACUUGGAAACAGGUGCUAAUACCGCAUAACCAUGAACACCGCAUGAUGUUCGUGUAAAAGACGGCUUUUGCUGUCACUUUUGGAUGGGCCUGCGGCGUAUUAACUUGUUGGUGGGGUAACGGCCUACCAAGGUGAUGAUACGUAGCCGAACUGAGAGGUUGAUCGGCCACAUUGGGACUGAGACACGGCCCAAACUCCUACGGGAGGCAGCAGUAGGGAAUCUUCCACAAUGGACGAAAGUCUGAUGGAGCAACGCCGCGUGAAUGAAGAAGGCCUUCGGGUCGUAAAAUUCUGUUGUCAGAGAAGAAUGUGCGUGAGAGUAACUGUUCACGUAUUGACGGUAUCUGACCAGAAAGCCACGGCUAACUACGUGCCAGCAGCCGCGGUAAUACGUAGGUGGCAAGCGUUGUCCGGAUUUAUUGGGCGUAAAGGGAACGCAGGCGGUCUUUUAAGUCUGAUGUGAAAGCCUUCGGCUUAACCGAAGUAGUGCAUUGGAAACUGGAAGACUUGAGUGCAGAAGAGGAGAGUGGAACUCCAUGUGUAGCGGUGAAAUGCGUAGAUAUAUGGAAGAACACCAGUGGCGAAAGCGGCUCUCUGGUCUGUAACUGACGCUGAGGUUCGAAAGCGUGGGUAGCAAACAGGAUUAGAUACCCUGGUAGUCCACGCCGUAAACGAUGAGUGCUAAGUGUUGGAGGGUUUCCGCCCUUCAGUGCUGCAGCUAACGCAUUAAGCACUCCGCCUGGGGAGUACGGUCGCAAGACUGAAACUCAAAGGAAUUGACGGGGGCCCGCACAAGCGGUGGAGCAUGUGGUUUAAUUCGAAGCAACGCGAAGAACCUUACCAGGUCUUGACAUCUUCUGACAAUUCCAGAGAUGGAACGUUCCCUUCGGGGACAGAAUGACAGGUGGUGCAUGGUUGUCGUCAGCUCGUGUCGUGAGAUGUUGGGUUAAGUCCCGCAACGAGCGCAACCCUUAUUGUCAGUUGCCAUCAUUAAGUUGGGCACUCUGGCGAGACUGCCGGUGACAAACCGGAGGAAGGUGGGGAUGACGUCAAAUCAUCAUGCCCCUUAUGACCUGGGCUACACACGUGCUACAAUGGACGGUACAACGAGUCGCUAACUCGCGAGGGCAAGCUAAUCUCUUAAAGCCGUUCUCAGUUCGGAUUGCAGGCUGCAACUCGCCUGCAUGAAGUCGGAAUCGCUAGUGAUCGCGAAUCAGCAUGUCGCGGUGAAUACGUUCCCGGGCCUUGUACACACCGCCCGUCACACCAUGAGAGUUUGUAACACCCAAAGUCGGUGGGGUAACCUUUUGGAGCCAGCCGCCUAAGGUGGGACAGAUGAUUGGGGUGAAGUCGUAACAAGGUA